GGACGAACGCUGGCGGCGUGCUUAACACAUGCAAGUCGAACGGAAAGGCCCUGCUUUUGUGGGGUGCUCGAGUGGCGAACGGGUGAGUAACACGUGAGUAACCUGCCCUUGACUUUGGGAUAACUUCAGGAAACUGGGGCUAAUACCGGAUAGGAGCUCCUGCUGCAUGGUGGGGGUUGGAAGGUUUCGGCGGUUGGGGAUGGACUCGCGGCUUAUCAGCUUGUUGGUGGGGUAGUGGCUUACCAAGGCUUUGACGGGUAGCCGGCCUGAGAGGGUGACCGGCCACAUUGGGACUGAGAUACGGCCCAGACUCCUACGGGAGGCAGCAGUGGGGAAUAUUGCACAAUGGGCGGAAGCCUGAUGCAGCAACGCCGCGUGCGGGAUGACGGCCUUCGGGUUGUAAACCGCUUUCGCCUGUGACGAAGCGUGAGUGACGGUAAUGGGUAAAGAAGCACCGGCUAACUACGUG
rnacentral:rRNA from 1 species